rnacentral:lncRNA from 1 species
AGUGAUCUCACUCUCCCACAUCAUGUCUCUGCUUACAAACGUGUCACCUUUCACAUAGAGGGAUAAUGUCACUGACUCAGCCUUGCUGGGACUGACCACUGGCUUCAUCUUCUAAUCCUAGGGCUUGACUGGCGCUGCUCCACCUGCACCUGGCUGCACGGUCAGCAGGCACCUGUGUUGCCCGCAGCCACAAAGGGCAAGGAAUGACAGGCCCAGAGUUCCCUAGGAUGGAGCGGCUGUGGAUGGUGGCAUGCAUCUGGAAACUGCACUCUAAACCAGGCCUAGGCUCUGUCUGAGGCUGCCCAGAACUUUCCUGGUGGCCUGAGAGCAGCUGCAGAUGGACAGGCCCGGCAGGAGUUGCACAGAGAACAUCCCUACAGUGAAUCUUUGCCCAGAGGAGCCUGAGCACAGGAUGCCAGGGCAGCGCCUUGUGGGGUCUUGAGAUGGGGGAACCGCGAGCAAGAGCGGGACGCGAGGCAAAAUAAAAGGCGUAGCAGAGCCCGCCGCCAGGGACGUCAUUCGCUGGGCGGCCAUCAUGAAGUAUCAGACUGCCGGGCUGAAACGCGUGUUUCCUCCGUCUGGAGGCUCGGAGUGCGAGACCCAGGCGGCGCAGGUUUGGUUUCUCCAAGGCCCAUCUCCUGGGUUGCAGAUGGCCGCCUGCUCCGCGUGUCCUCACGUGGUCUUCCUUCUGUGUCUGUCUGUCCCCAUCUUCUUAUAAGGACACGUCGGAUUAGGACCCACCCUCAUGACCUCAUUUUAACCUACUUACCUCUCUCGGCCCUACCUUCAGAUAGAGUCACACUCUGAGGUUCUAGGGGUUAGGACUCAACAUGCGAGUCUGGCGGGGACACGGCUCACCCCAGAACCACCAGCUAGAGUCAGGAAGCCUGUGAGUUGGUGCGCGCGGGGGACCCGCGGCCGCGGCCCGGAACCCGCACCUGCCCACGCAGGCCCGGCGGCCGGCUGGAGACCCCCGCGGGCCAGCGUGAUCAUCCGGAGCGCCGGGCGCGGGCUCGUGGGGAGCCGCGGGGCCGCCUCCUCUCUUCGUGGGGCUGCUGCACACGGUCUCUCAGCGCCUCGGGCCCGUCCCCGCACCUGCGAGCCUGCGGGGGCGCCCUGGAGAGCGGCGGGGGCGGCCCUCCCCGUGGGAGCGGGGGCGGGGGCGGCCCCCCCGGGGGACGGGGGCGCAGGCGGGGGGGCGUGGGCGGGGGGGACCGGCCCUCCGGGGGUGGCGUGGGCAGGGGGAUCGCCCCUCCCGCGGUGGGGCGGGGGCAGCCACGGCGGCGAGGGAGGCGGAGGAUGGCUGUGCGCGGCGGCGAUGGGCCGAGGCUCCUGCCCGGACGACGCACCUCACGGCGGCGCCCGGACAGCCGGGCUGCACGGCCGGGGCUUCGCCCAGAGGCUGCACAGACACUGCGUGCUGACCGCUGGCCGGCGACCGCGGACACCGCGGGGUCCCAGCCGCGGCGUCUCGGCCGCUCCCCCGGCGGCGGCGCGGGGCGUGCGCCUCCUGGCGAGCAGCUCAGUUAGCUCCCAGCCCCGGGCGGCGCUGUGGCCGCCUGUCACAGACGGGGAAGCCGAGGCGCUGAGCGCCUAAGCGACGGGCCCGAAGCGAGAGCCAGCGCGGCGGCCUCCGCUCGCGGCUGCGGCCCCUGCGGGCGUGUGUCGCCGGCCGGAGAGGAAGGCGGGGGCCGCCUGCGCCGAGCUGCUUCCUGCACCUCGUCGCUCAGUCCCUCCGGGGACGCUCUGCGCGACGGGCUCGUGCGGACGCAGCGCGGUCCUGGCGGGGCGGUGGAGGCGCGGGGCGCACCGCGGCCCCGGCUGCCUGAGCCCGGCACGGAGACCCUGGGGCCGGCCUGCGCUCCGCCGGAGGCCCUGCCGCCCCCGGGAGGCGGCCUGCGGGACUCGGGAGGGCGGGGGCCCGGGAGGCUGAGGGGGGCGGCGCAGCGAGGCCGGGCCGCGGGGCGACGGCCGCGGGAGGUCAGGGCGCCUGCGGGGCGGGGACUGCGGGCUGUCUUCUCCUGCAGAGCCGCCGGGCCUCCCAGCCAGCCCCGCCUGUGAGGACGCCAGGCCCCCGUCGUCCCGUCGCCGGGCGGCCCCGGGAUCCCAAGAUGCCUGCGGUGAAAGCUCUUCCGCAGGAAGCAGCCCAGUGCAGUGUCCCUUGCCUGAGAGGGUGAAGCUAAGAGGCAGAAACAGUCACCCACUCGUUGCCCCGACGCACUCAAGGGUGGGCUUGGAAGCGGCUAACUGUGGUUCCAAAUUGUUCUUUUCCUUCUGUUAUGUCAGGGAGGUGCCGCCAGCCCCGCCGGGCCAGGCCAGGCCUCCGCAGAGGGCUCCCCUGUGCCUUUGCCUUGUGGAUGCCGAGCUCCUCCGGGAGGAGGGACCCAUGACUCUGGACGUGAUUCCCCACGCCUCCCGUUAGCUGCAAUAUCGCUGCUUUGCGAGACGACUGCUUCCGGUGGAGAGGCUGACUCACCGGCCAGCAGGGAGCCCGCUUUGGUCUCAAAAGGACAGAACCAAACUAACGAAGACUUAAUUUUCUCUGACCCUUAAUUUGAACGCAGCUGUUCCUUUGUUUUGACUGAUCCUCCAUGGCUUUGACAAUACUUUGACAAGUAGAAAUGGCAAGCCACAGGAGAUACUGGGGGACACGAGGAAGCCGUUUGGUGCAAACCUAAUUCGGCCCGACUUUGUUUUUCCACAAGGCCUGACGUGGCCGUUGAGCAUGCGCUGUACAUCUGCUUAAGCAUUUGCUGUGUCCCACAGACAAGAACAAAGGCCCUUAAGAUAAAGGUGCAGCUUCCCCCACAUGGCAUUUCCUUAAGGACAAGCAUCUCUCCCUGGGGUGGGAACUGAUUGCUAUGCUCACCUGUGACCACCCAGCUCGAGACAACAGACCUGCCACCCUGCCGUGUCCACCAGGACACCAGACCUACUACCUGCUGUGUCUGUCCAUCGCUGUUCCGACAGAGCAGUCUCAUGACUAUUGGAAAAGGGACAUUUCAAGCACAUGUGAAACAUGCUCUUUGGAUGUAUAUAACCACUCUGUACACCCCAUGUCUUCGGUGCCCUUCCUUCCUUGGGGAAGGAAGACCCAGGCCAUGGUCCUCACAUUUUGGUUCAGA